CGCGGGCGCGGGAUGCCAUCCUGUUCGUCGCUGAGUGGCGGUUCCUGGUGCGGGAUGACGGCGACCCUGACCCCGCUGGGGAUCCGGAUCCCGAGCGAGACGGAGUCUGGAGCGAGGACGAGGAGCCCCAAACCAGUCGCUGGGACUCCUGUACGCCCGGCGUUGUCCAUGUCGCGGAUGCCCCUCUGCCCUCGGAAAAGGUUUCGUGCGAGGAUCUCCCCGUGACAUCCGAAGCUAAAGAACAUCCGCUCGUGUGUCCCGCCGAGGUCUCCGACGCUGUUUCCCUCCUGAGUGUCCCGGGCGAGGUCGCCUCUACGACGUCGCCGUGCCCGUCCUCCU